rnacentral:lncRNA from 1 species
CACACUUAUCAGUUCCAUGGGGAAUUUACAAGCUCAUGGUGGAUAUGAAGAAAAGAUAUAACAAUCCGAUCAUUUAUAUUACGGAAAAUGGUAAGUAGUCGGGUAAUUUAUUAGUAUACCAGUUAUAAUUAUAUAAAAAGGUAUGUAUUGUAAUAUGUACAAAUUUAAUUUGAUGGAAAUAAUUCUUCAUGAUUUGUGUAUAACCAUAAGUCCGUAAAUUGUACACAGGCUCUGUCAGAUGAGAUAAGGAUUCACUAUCACCAAGAACAUCUAUGUCAGCUCAAGAAAGCAAUGGAGUACAGAAUAAUUUAAUUUGUUGUCCAAAUUAAUUAAUUAUGAAUGUAUCCACUACAUUUUGUUAACUCAAUUCAUGUAUGAUUUUGCUUUUCCUUUUCAGCGGCACAAAUGGAAAAGAUGGAGUAAAGGUGAAGGGUUACUUCAUAUGGUCUUUGUUUGAUAAUUUUGAAUGGGCCGAGGGAUGUAGUGUCAGAUUUGGUAUUAUUUAUGUGCACCACGAUAAUGGCCGUUAUACAAGGUUGCCAAAGAACUCAGCUGUAUGGUGGAGGAAUUUCCUCAGCAAGAAGGCUGAAAUUCCAUCAGAGAAAGAAGCUGAAAAACCUGAAGAACGUCGUAAAAGGCUUAGAAGCAAUAAUUAAGCUUAUAAAAAUUAGUGCGCCCUUGUUGAAUAAUGCACUGUUGCAACUGUUGCCUUUAGUUUGUUUCCUUCUUGUCUUUUUUGUGUUUCAACUUGCACUGUUGUGUUCAAAUAAAAGGAGCUGGCCAAUGAGGUUUCAAGCUAAACUCUCGUGUUGAUUGUCUUCAUCUGUGAAAUAAAAAAUUUGG